rnacentral:rRNA from 1 species
UACGGGGGGAGCAAGCGUUGUUCGGAUUUACUGGGCGUAAAGGGCGCGUAGGCGGCCACCGCAAGUCGACUGUGAAAUCUCCGGGCUUAACCCGGAAAGGUCAGCCGAUACUGCGGGGCUAGAGUGCAGAAGGGGCAACUGGAAUUCUCGGUGUAGCGGUGAAAUGCGUAGAUAUCGGGAGGAACACCAGUGGCGAAGGCGAGUCUCUGGGAUGAUACUGACGCUGAUGCUCGAAAGCUAGGGGAGCAAACGGG